rnacentral:lncRNA from 10 species
CCUGGGGGUACAAAUCUGAAAAUAUUUGUCUUGCUCACAAUUUGCUGUGGGAGACAAAUGUGACUACCUCUGAUCACUAUACAAACAAUGGAAUAAAUGCUUUGUAGGAGGAGUACACGUCCAAUCCCAUGGGCCCACUAGGACAGUGUAUUUGAAGAAGCUUUAAUAUAAGAGGUAACAUUUUAACUCUGGCUAAAAGGGUAAGUAGGAGUUUGUUAAAUUGAGCAGUCAGGUUUAGCCUAGGGUAAAGCCCUCCAGCUACAGGAAACAGCACAUGCAAUGAAUAUGGAUGUUUGAAAGGAUGUCUAUUCAGGAAAUGCUGGGUGGGGAUCAUAGCAGAGUUGUCAGGAGAUAAGGCUGAAAAAUCAAGCAAGGGUCAAAUAAGGCAGGGUCUGUUCUAUCAUGUGGAAUUUAGUCUUCUUUUUAUUUAAACUUGAACCCGUUGAAAAGAGAUGUUGCUAAUUCUACUAUACUAAUUCUAAUGGUUCCCACUGAUUAUUAAUUGACAAAAAUUAACAGCCAGUAAUCUUUGAGUCAAUUUUUAUCUUUGGCACUUAUAAACCCCCAUUGCAAUUUGCCAUGGAAAAUAACUUUAAAAGCAACCACCCUGCUACUCGUUAGCGCAUUACUGUUGGAAUUGAUUUGAGUCUAGAGUAGUACCAGAAAAUGGCACAAAGUGAAUCUGGUCUCUGAGCUUCAUCUCACCAAGGAUAAUAUAUGUUUAAACCUUCCUUCUUAAGAAAAAACAGCUACUGCUUUUACUAUCUUGGGAUGUUAAAAUACCUAUCAAUACACUCUUGGCCAUGAGUGUGACUUAAAUUUUUUUUCCUGAAAAAAAAAAUUAAAGAAUAAAAUGGAUGAAAAUCUUAAGAACCAUGAGAUUUAUUUUGUUUUCAUUAAUUCCAUUAAUUAUGCCCGUCUCUUUUUAAGCAAUUAAGAAAUUUUAUAGAAUGUAAUACUUUUUUAUGUAAAAAUAAAAUGCCUUGUUGUUGUGCUUAGUACAAAAGGACAAUGAUUCCAGGACCCACUGAGGAUUUCCAGUCCGAGCUCGGAAUCUGUGGUUUGUCGUUCAGUUUUUGGACUAUCCACAGAAACAUUCCUUUAAAGAAAUAUAUCCUCAGUUAAGAAACGUGGAGGAUCGCCAGGCACUUAGCUGAUCUUUGUAAACUGGCAGGCUUGGGUAAACAUCUUCCAACUGAUUUUCAGACACAGCAUUAGCAAUCAACAAAUAUUUUCCGAGCACUGCACAUACACAUUAAGGG